rnacentral:misc_RNA from 1 species
UUGACGCUCAAAAUAACCUUUAUUCCCAAGCAAAAAUUGAAAAAUUUCCACCUAAAUUUGGUCCAUUGUAGAUCCAAAAUAUAAACAUAGGUUUCAUCAUACAUAUUGCAUCUUGGAUCCAUGUUAGACCAAGUUUAGGUAAGAAAAAUCUACAAAAAUAAUACAAAACUUCGUUUCUCGUUACAACACAAUCAGAAUCACAAAACCCUCACAACGAGACAGGCCUAGAAACAAACAUCAAAAAAAUGUAAUGCAGAAAUUUCCAAAUGUUGGUUAUACCCAAGGAAUAAACAUGAGAACAACCAAGAGUAUCAGCAAAUUGAACCAAGGAGAUAAAAAAAAAUUGUGUUGAAGCCAACCGUCAGCCAUCCUAGAAAACAAAAUAAGAAACUGGAAACGCAGUAAGUAUUAACCUCCAGAGUGGGAGACUGGAGUAGUUACAAAGCGACCAUCCUUAAAUUCAUUUACAAACUGUUGCGGCAAAGCAUGCUCCACCUAUAAAAGAAGGAUUAAUAAAAUUAAUUCAAAAUUUCAUAAUUCACACGCACAAGCAGCUGAUUUUUGUACACCAUAUUAGAGGAUUAAAAAAAUGUUGAACUCAAAUAUGACAACAGUUCUUGAAAUAUAUGUCAAAUGUAUCACCAGUGAAUAACAAAAUUUAGUAUGCUGUAACAGAGAUUUAUGGGAGCUUAUUUUUAUAGAGAUGUUUAUGACAACAAAUAUUGCAAAUAUAGCAUGCAUUUGAAAAGUUAUCCACAUCAAGCACCAAAAUAAAUGCCAGCUUCUUUAGUUGUCUGGUCAAAACAAUACAGAAAUCAAGCUUUGACUAUCAUGCAUUGUAAAUCUCAAGAAUCUAAAGCUAAAAAUCCAUAAACCAACCAGGAUGCAAAGUCACGCAAAGACCUAUCUUUUAUAUAGCCUAAUUAAGGUAGUUUUUCAAAAAUGCUACAGCACUUCAAUCCCUCCAAAAAUCAUCUAUUUAACAUCUUAAAUUUAGGUAAAAUCAGUCCCAUCAAAAUCACAUAGACAGCAUAAAAUAAUAUUCCCAUCGUCACAAUUAUGUUUAUAUCUGCAGAGGUCAACUGCCACAGCCCCAAUAUACAAUUUAAUUAGGGAGGUGUCUCAUACUUGAAGUGAAAGGCACUCAAUAUUCCCACCAUGUCUCAUGCAGCGAGCUCAUAGAAGUCAAAAGGCGCCUGAUAUUUUUAUAAUUGAAGCACUCUGAAAAUGUCUCCUUUUGCUACCAUGCAAAAGCCAAUAACUAAUGCAUCUAGGCAUUAUUCAAUUAUCAGAAACUCUUCCUUGUACACUUUCUAAUAUGAAAAUGUCCAGGACAGAAUUAACCAAAAAAAAAAACUAUUAACAAAAUCAGAAUGUGUUAAAAAAAUCCAAGCAGAUGCUUGGCAAAAAAUGGAAAUGAUAUUUUUGCAUCCGCUAGAAAGUGAAAGAAUCUUUGCAUAAACCAGCCACCCAGUUCCUGCAAACUCUUUAAAUAAACCAUAAUUUAAGCAGAAAAAUGAAUGAUGAAUGAUCAACUAAAUCUUUGGGAAGUUAAAGAAAGGAAAAUGUUUGAAACUUACCCAAUCACCAUUAGGGUCUGCACCUGGUACCAAAACAUUGAUUUCACUUGACUUGGCAGUCGUUAUAGAUGCUCCCAAAGAAUCUUUGCUUAAAUAUAACUGGCAGCCUGAUGUGUUGUCCACAGAAACGGUUGGGGCUGAACCCUGGCAUUGCACCUCAACACCACUGCAAUUCACAAUCUCACAUGCAGCCACAACAUCCAUAAAUACAACUCCCAUCUUAGUGCAUUUGUCAACGGUUAUAUUGUUGACUUUCCCUUGAAUCUGCAAAACAGAAUCUUUGCAACCAAAAACAUAUACAGACUGUUUUGCAUCACAGUCAUCAAUUACUAAAUUCCUUUUUCCAAUUUGAUUCUCAACAACCCACUUACGACCCAUUUGAAGCUCAAGUUUUGGAGGUCCUGCCUUAGAAAUAGAAGCUGAACUAGUACGGCCUUCUUUUUCACUGGCACUAACAACACCAGUUCUAUCUGCAAGGUUCUUUGUCUUCAUAUCAGCUGAGACCUUUCUAAGACCUGCAGUCACAGACUUGCUUGUGUUGAUUUCUUGGAAAACAGCAGCCAUCCCUUCUUUUGGCUUUGAUGACGAAGGCUGAGAAGAUUCAGCACUGAAGAGAUAAGCUGGUGGAGGUGGUGGAGGAGCAGGAGCUUUAGAUGUAGAAGAAGUUGGUGCUUUGCCAGAAACACCCCAUGUUGGGCCCAAGGGAUAAUGACUCUUAACAUAAUCCCUCAAACCUGGAAGAUAUAACUCCUUCAUGGCUUUGGCCCACUCAACAUGAUUUGGGUCUUUACUUUUGUACUCUACAAGAAUCUUGUUGUUGUAAAAUUCCGCCAUUUGCCAACUAUCUUCAACAUGUGCAAUAGGCAUGCUCAUACCACAAUCUUUUCCUGUAUAGGCAAUCCAUGCCAAAGCUGUCAGACUGUCAGCAGCAGACUUCAAGUGGUUAAAGAAAUCAGAUCUCUUUCCCUCCGUCAUUGCAUUUGCUUUCGUGAUCACUUCAUUCAAUGGCUUGAGAAAUUCAGCCAACCCUGCAAGGUCAGGUUUCUGAGUUUUCUUAGCCUUAACGAGAAGCUCCUUCUGAACACUAAAAGCCUCGUGCACAAUAUUCGUGACCUCCAAAACCUGUCCUCCAAUCUUCUCAGCAGCAGCCGAAACCCUACCGAAGAACUGCCCCAAGAGAUCGUCGAACGCAAUAAUUGACGGAUCCGAGGACACAUCAGAUCCGCCAAAGUCCGCAACGCCACGGUCCCUAAACCCCGACGAAGAUAGCACCUCCAAUCGCGCCACAGCCGAUUCAAGCCUGGCAAUCAGCUUCUCCUCCAUGACGAAGAGCGAAGCCCUACCUCACUCCCUCCCUCACUUAACAGAAUACUGACCUUUGUUUCUUUGUUUUGUCUGUUUUCACUUUGUAUCAUAAGAAUGUCAGCUUUCGUCUGAGAUGAGAGCAGAUCUGGGGUCUGAUUGGUGCGUGUGGAUUUUAAUGAGAGAAUGUUUCUGGCGGAGAGACAGGGAUUAGUUUAGGUUCGGAUAUGGGUGUAAU